rnacentral:rRNA from 1 species
CCUACGGGAGACAGCAGUGAGGAAUAUUGGUCAAUGGGCGGGAGCCUGAACCAGCCAAGCCGCGUGAGGGAAGAAGGUACAGCGUAUCGUAAACCUCUUUUGUCAGGGAACAAAGGCGGGGACUAGUCCCCGGAUGAGGGUACCUGAAGAAAAAGCAUCGGCUAACUCCGUGCCAGCAGCCGCGGUAAUACGGAGGAUGCGAGCGUUAUCCGGAUUUAUUGGGUUUAAGGGGUGCGCGGGGGGCCUGUUAAGUCAGUGGUAAAAGUCUGGGGCUCAACCCAAGCGUGCCGUUGAAACUGGCGGGCUGGAGUAGGAGAGAGGUACGCGGAAUGCGCGGUGUAGCGGUGAAAUGCUUAGAUAUCGCGCAGAACCCCGAUUGCGAAGGCAGCGUACCAACUCCACACUGACGCUGAGGCACGAAAGCGUGGGUAUCGAACAGGAUUAGAUACCCGGGUAGUC